rnacentral:misc_RNA from 1 species
GGAAGUAAAAGUCGUAACAAGAUCUCCGUUGGUGAACCAGCGGAGGGAUCAUUACCGAGUUAUCAACUCCCAAACCCCUGUGAACAUACCCAACGUUGCUUCGGCGGGACCGCCCCGGCGCCCUCGGCGUCCCGGAACCAGGCGCCCGCCGGAGGACCCAAACUCUUGUUUAAACCAUAGUGGCAUAUUCUGAGUCUCACAAGAAAAAUGAAUCAAAACUUUCAACAACGGAUCUCUUGGCUCUG